rnacentral:rRNA from 1 species
UUUCGGAAGUUCAAAAAUCGUAACAAGGUUUCCGUAGGUGAACCUGCGGAAGGAUCAUUAUCGAGUUUUGAACGGGUUGUAGCUGGCCUCUCACGAGGCAUGUGCACGCCUGGCUCAUCCACUCUUAACCUCUGUGCACUUUAUGUAAGAGAAAAAAAUGGUGGAAGCUUCCAGGAUCUCGCGAGAGGUCUUCGGUUGAACAAGCCGUUUUUCUUUCUUAUGUUUUACUACAAACGCUUCAGUUAUAGAAUGUCAACUGUGUAUAACACAUUUAUAUACAACUUUCAGCAACGGAUCUCUUGGCUCUCGCAUCGAUGAAGAACGCAGCGAAAUGCGAUAAGUAAUGUGAAUUGCAGAAUUCAGUGAAUCAUCGAAUCUUUGAACGCACCUUGCACUCCUUGGUAUUCCGAGGAGUAUGCCUGUUUGAGUCUCAUGGUUUUCUCAACCCCUAAAUUUUUGUAAUGAAGGUUUAGCGGGCUUGGACUUGGAGGUUGUGUCGGCCCUUGUCGGUCGACUCCUCUGAAAUGCAUUAGCGUGAAUCUUACGGAUCGCCUUCAGUGUGAUAAUUAUCUGCGCUGCGGUGUUGAAGUAUUUAUGGUGUUCAUGCUUCGAACCGUCUCCUUGCCGAGACAAUCAUUUGACAAUCUGAGCUCAAAUCAGGUAGGACUACCCGCUGAACUUAAGCAUAUCA